rnacentral:rRNA from 1 species
GGGGUGCGACACGGUGACGUGGGGCGGAUCCCUGAAAACCGGUCUCAGUUCGGAUCGCAGUCUGCAACUCGACUGCGUGAAGGUGGAGUCGCUAGUAAUCGCGGAUCAGCAACGCCGCGGUGAAUGCGUUCCCGGGCCUUGUACACACCGCCCGUCAAGUCAUGAAAGUGGGCAGCACCCGAAGACGGUGGCCUAACCCUUGGGGGGGGAGCCGUCUAAGGUGAGGCUCGUGAUUGGGACUAAGUCGUAACAAGGUAGC